GAGCCGGGCCAAUCACACCGACUAGUUUUGUGACUUUGCCGAUGGUCGCCGUAUGAAUCGAGGAUUGCGUUGGUGCACAUUUCCAGCAGGAUUCACCUCAAGUCUUUGCGCAUCUUCGUCCUGACUUCCUUGCCAUCAUUUGGAUGCCAUAGAAUUCUUCUAAGUCUUUCUUUUCCUUGGGAUCUAUAAAACACAUACAGUGGUACAUCUUGCAAACACGUUAGUCCCACUGACUACGUUGUCAUUGUCACACCCGAUUUUAAGGACAAAAUCGAGUGCAUUACAUACAUGUGCGCCAGGAUCAAGUUACACACAUGUACGACAAUAGUGAAUAGCAAAGACAGUGUUAAAUCGAAUAAAGAGAGUAUUAACCAUUAUUACAUGACCGAAUGUCUCACAUAAACCACAAAGUCUAAUUAUUACGCAGCGGAACUCCAAAGACGACGACGACUCCACAGGCAGCUGACUGAAGAAACGUACGCCUAGAACUCCUCGAAGUCGUGUAGAUACUCCUCUUCCCAAUUAACUUGGUCUGAACAGCGGUUUUGCAAGGGUGAGUACACUUAUGGUUGGUACUCAACAAGUCGUGGGGAAUAGUGUAGUGUAAGGCUAAUUCAAGGUAUGGCUAAGGCAUAAUUAGCAGUCGCUUUU
rnacentral:lncRNA from 1 species